ensembl:lncRNA
CAUGCUCGGAGUUUCGCCAUUUUAAUCAGACAGAACGGAUUCUUUGCAAUAAGCGAUCAAAAAAAAAUAUCUAGAAAUGUUUAUUAACUUAAUGGAAAAGGUGGAUGGUUUUUAUUUAGCUGGUUUUAUAUAUCCAAAGUUUGAUUAAGGUGACUGUUCAGGUCUCGAGACGCUUUAAAGAUGACUUCCGCAUGAAAAUUCUGAAAAACGUAUUCAUUCUUACAUGUGCUUGAUAAUGAACGUGCCUUCUGGGUUUUCUGAAUCUUCAGCUGAAUUAAAUCUAUCUGCGAUGUCCAUCCAAAAUCAGGGUGCACACUCCAUGGAUGAAACAAAAUCAACCACAGAUGAAGAUUUUUAUCCAAGAUGCAGGUACUUUGAAUGGACACUCUAUUAAAUACAUUUAUCUUAUAAAAAAGUUGGGAUUAGCACAUUUUUUAUGUGAUUUUAUGUAUUAAGAUUUGUUUUCUAUUCCAGUUCAGUCCAGCAGGAGAGAUCAGAUUCACCAGAUUUCAGCUGUGUAUCUAUGAGUGCCCAAUCAAUUGAACAGCCAGUAAAUAUUAAGAGUGGAGACACACAACCUGAUCUCAUUUCAGUCCAGCAGGAGAGAUCAGAUUCACCAGAUUUCAGCUGUGGGUCUAUGAGUGUCCAGUCUAUUGAACAGCCAGUAAAUAUUAAGAAUGGAGACACCCAACCUGAUCUUAUGUCAAUCCAUCCACCCAGAUCAGACCUAACAGAACCUGUCUGCAAUAAGGAUGAUGAGUUUAUGAAUCAACUACAAAGCACAUAUUCUGAUUUCAGGUAAAAUAAUAUGUUUAUUUUUAUUUAUUUAUUUUAAAUGCUGUAAUGGGUCAUAACACAUUACUCAAAAACAUUAUAACUGACUUAAAAUGUCAUGGAACUGAUGGUCUGUGUACAGUAUGAUGUAGAAAACAAACAAAAAUGUUUAAUGGAAUAAUUUGGUAUUUUAACUGAUACAGCUAUAAAUCUAAUUCUGCUGAAGUCCUUAAGGCACUGAAAUCAAAUCUGAGGAAGAAGUUUCAGUGUCUGUAUGAGGGAACAUCAAAGCAGGGAAACCCAACACUCCUGAAUGAGAUCUACACAGAUCUCUACAUCACAGAGGGUGAAAAUGGAG